rnacentral:rRNA from 1 species
GCUCUCUUAUGGGGGUCUCAACUUUUUAUUCUGUGCACCGUUUAAUUUGGGGGAAACCCCGCCCUGGGUUGGUUCGCUUUUUCCUUUGGGAGAUUGUUCGGCCGCCCAGAUCAAUUAUUAUACUAUUAUGACUGAACCAUAACAGAAAUUGUUAACAUAUAAACAACUUUCAGCAAUGGAUCUCUCGGCUUUCGUAUCGAUGAAGAACGCAGCAAAUCGCGAUAUGUAGUGUGAUCUGCCUAUAGUGAAUCAUCAAAUCUUUGAACGCAUCUUGCACCUCUGGGUAUUCCUGGAGGUACGCCUGUUUCAGUAUCAUUAUAACUUCUUCCCAUACUAUUUGGGUGGAAAAAUUACUACUGGCCCUUGAGGAAAGGGAGGAUUCGUCUUCCCGCCUUCACGGCUUAAAUAUGAUCUGGUUUCUUUUUAACCGGCUAGUUACCUUUUGGUAGAUUCAUCUUUCAAAAAAAACCUANUCAGCUAGAAAAGCCUCCCCUUCAUUCAAAAAACUUGAUCUGAAAUCAGGCGGGAUUACCCGCUGAACUUAAGCAUAUCAAUAA